UAUCAAUUGAUAAGUAAAAAAAUAUGCAAGUCUUAACUUGGAUGUCUUUCAUCUUGCAUGUGCUCACCUCCCUCCCCUCUCACCCAGUCGUUUGGGUUGUUUGCCUCCCCUUACUGUCAUAUCUUCAUAGUGUGGAACUAAAACGUAGAAAUGAGGGAAGUAUAGUGGACAGAUGUUUCCCCCACCCCUUCUUUUACCUAGGCAAGAGAUUAGGGGAGUCUUUUUUGAUUAAAGAGAGUAGGUCCAAAAUAAAGACCCUGAAACACUAAAAUCUGGGGAUCCCCAACAAAAGAACUGGCUCAGUACCUAGUGAUCCGACGGAGACACCUCUGUUAGACAGCUCCUGCCCACACACACAGCUUCCAGUCUUGCUCUUCUAUAUGAACAGGCAGUUAACGAUGAUCAUAAGGACCAACCUGAGCAGCAGAACCAAAGGGACUGAGGAAACAGACAGUGCUGGUACAAGUAUGCAAGUUUUCUGUAAACAGAUUACUUUCAAACAGUUGGGAGCCCCAGGGAGAUAAUAGAAGGUAUCCUACUCAACAGGAGUAUAUAGAAUGCUGUAGAAGAGGAAUAUUGUAAGAACAAGAACUAUCUCUUGAAAACUAAAAAUAUGAUAACUGAAAUAUAAAUUUAAAUAGGAUUGGAAGCUAAAGCUAGGAAAUUACCCUAGAAUGUUUUUUGAGAAAUGGAAAAUACGAAGACCAAAAAAAUAAAAUAAAACUAUGCUGUGAAAGAGAAAGAUUAGCAUUUGAGAAGG
rnacentral:lncRNA from 10 species